AUUGAACGCUGGCGGCAGGCCUAACACAUGCAAGUCGAGCGGUAGCACAGAGAGCUUGCUCUCGGGUGACGAGCGGCGGACGGGUGAGUAAUGUCUGGGAAACUGCCUGAUGGAGGGGGAUAACUACUGGAAACGGUAGCUAAUACCGCAUAACGUCGCAAGACCAAAGUGGGGGACCUUCGGGCCUCAUGCCAUCAGAUGUGCCCAGAUGGGAUUAGCUAGUAGGUGGGGUGAUGGCUCACCUAGGCGACGAUCCCUAGCUGGUCUGAGAGGAUGACCAGCCACACUGGAACUGAGACACGGUCCAGACUCCUACGGGAGGCAGCAGUGGGGAAUAUUGCACAAUGGGCGCAAGCCUGAUGCAGCCAUGCCGCGUGUGUGAAGAAGGCCUUCGGGUUGUAAAGCACUUUCAGCGGGGAGGAAGGCCGUGAGGUUAAUAACCUCAUCGAUUGACGUUACCCGCAGAAGAAGCACCGGCUAACUCCGUGCCAGCAGCCGCGGUAAUACGGAGGGUGCAAGCUUUUAUCCGAAUUACUGGGCGUAAAGCGCACGCAGGCGGUCUGUCAGUCGGAUGUGAAAUCCCCGGGCUCAACCUGGGAACUGCAUUCGAAACUGGCAGGCUAGAGUCUUGUAGAGGGGGGUAGAAUUCCAGGUGUAGCGGUGAAAUGCGUAGAGAUCUGGAGGAAUACCGGUGGCGAAGGCGGCCCCCUGGACAAAGACUGACGCUCAGGUGCGAAAGCGUGGGGAGCAAACAGGGUUAGAUACCCUGGUAGUCCACGCCGUAAACGAUGUCGAUUUGGAGGUUGUGCCCUUGAGGCGUGGCUUCCGGAGCUAACGCGUUAAAUCGACCGCCUGGGGAGUACGGCCGCAAGGUUAAAACUCAAAUGAAUUGACGGGGGCCCGCACAAGCGGUGGAGCAUGUGGUUUAAUUCGAUGCGACGCGAAGAACCUUACCUGGUCUUGACAUCCACAGAACUUUCCAGAGAUGGAUUGGUGCCUUCGGGAACUGUGAGACAGGUGCUGCAUGGCUGUCGUCAGCUCGUGUUGUGAAAUGUUGGGUUAAGUCCCGCAACGAGCGCAACCCUUAUCCUUUGUUGCCAGCGGUCCGGCCGGGAACUCAAAGGAGACUGCCAGUGAUAAACUGGAGGAAGGUGGGGAUGACGUCAAGUCAUCAUGGCCCUUACGACCAGGGCUACACACGUGCUACAAUGGCAUAUACAAAGAGAAGCGACCUCGCGAGAGCAAGCGGACCUCAUAAAGUAUGUCGCAGUCCGGAUUGGAGUCUGCAACUCGACUCCAUGAAGUCGGAAUCGCUAGUAAUCGUAGAUCAGAAUGCUACGGUGAAUACGUUCCCGGGCCU
rnacentral:rRNA from 1 species